CAUGCAAGUCGAGCGAACGGACGAGAAGCUUGCUUUUCUGAUGUUAGCGGCGGACGGGUGAGUAACACGUGGAUAACCUACCUAUAAGACUGGGAUAACUUCGGGCAAACCGUGCAACUAAUACCGAGAUAAUAUUUUGAACCGCACUGGUUCAAAAGUGAAAGACGGUCUUGCUGUCACUUAUAGAUGGAUCCGCGCUGCAUUAGCUAGUUGGUAAGGUAACGGCUUACCAAGGCAACGAUGCAUAGCCGACCUGAGAGGGUGAUCGGCCACACUGGAACUGAGACACGGUCCAGACUCCUACGGGAGGCAGCAGUAGGGAAUCUUCCGCAAUGGCGAAAGCCUGACGGAGCAACGCCGCGUGAGUGAUGAAGGUCUUCGGAUCGUAAAACUCUGUUAUUAGGGAAGAACAUAUGUGUAAGUAACUGUGCACAUCUUGACGGUACCUAAUCAGAAAGCCACGGCUAACUACGUGCCAGCAGCCGCGGUAAUACGUAGGUGGCAAGCGUUAUCCGGAAUUAUUGGGCGUAAAGCGCGCGUAGGCGGUUUUUUAAGUCUGAUGUGAAAGCCCACGGCUCAACCGUGGAGGGUCAUUGGAAACUGGAAAACUUGAGUGCAGAAGAGGAAAGUGGAAUUCCAUGUGUAGCGGUGAAUGCGCAGAGAUAUGGAGGAACACCAGUGGCGAAGGCGACUUUCUGGU
rnacentral:rRNA from 1 species